rnacentral:rRNA from 1 species
UGGGGAAUUUUGCACAAUGGGGGAAACCAUGAUGCAGCGACGCCGCGUGAUUUAGAAGGCCUUCGGGUUGUAAAAAUCUUUUCUAUGGGAAGAAAAUGACAGUACCAUAGGAAUAAGGACCGGCUAAUUACGUGCCAGCAGCCGCGGUAAUACGUAAGGUCCGAGCGUUGUCCGGAAUCAUUGGGCGUAAAGGGUACGUAGGCGGGUAAGCAAGUUAGAAGUGAAAUCCUAUAGCCCAACUAUAGUAAGCUUUUAAAAAUGCUCAUCUUGAGGUAUGGAAGGGAAAGUGGAAUUCCUAGUGUAGCGGUGAAAUGCGCAGAUAUUAGGAGGAAUACCGGUGGCGAAGGCGACUUUCUGGCCAUAACCUGACGCUGAGGUACGACAGCGUGGGUAGCAAACGGG